rnacentral:rRNA from 1 species
UACGUAGGGAGCAAGCGUUGUUCGGAUUUACUGGGCGUAAAGGGCGCGUAGGCGGCCUAUUAAGUCAGCUGUGAAAUCUCCGAGCUUAACUCGGAACUGUCAGCUGAUACUGAUGUGCUAGAGUGCGGAAGGGGCAAUCGGAAUUCUUGGUGUAGCGGUGAAAUGCGUAGAUAUCAAGAGGAACACCUGAGGUGAAGACGGGUUGCUGGGCCGACACUGACGCUGAGUGCGCGAAAGCCAGGGGAGCAAACAGG